AGUCCAAGCACAAAUGUGGAUCACUGAAGACAGUACUGGAAGCGCCAGUUGCAGAUUUCUAGAACACUCCUGUGAUGAAUCAUGGCUUGUCAUGGUGGUAAAACUGAGGCCCUGAAUGUAAGACCAAAGGAAAAAAUGGUAUUCUUUGACCUGCUUUUCUUUGCUUCAUUUUUUUACCUGCUCCUGGACAUCUUCAAACUCUGAGCUGAGCAACUCUAUGAAGAUGGGCACAGCUCCUGCCUGAAUCACAAUCCGGGUCUGAAGAGAAUUUCCUGAAGCAAUAUUUGUCAGUACCCAAGCUGAUUCAAACUAUAAAGAUAAAAAUAAUUUUAUUAUCUUAUUAGCAUUUAAUAGCUUGUUUUUAGCUAUAACAAUAAGGUUUUCUGUACAUGAAGAAAAGAAUCUGAAAUCAUUAUUUGCACAUAAUCAGAUGGAUUCUGUAUUACUUUUAAAUGGAGAAUUCCAGUAGAAAUACUUCAGACUACAAGAAUAUUCAGGAGGUCAAAGUAGAACUGACAUAAGACCAUGAAUGGAAUGAGGGACUGCUUCAUAUGCUGACAUGAAUGAUCUCCCAAGAUACGAAUGAGAAGAAAAGUGUAAUGGUGUACAUUAAGACAGUAUCAUACUAUAUUUUCUAAAAGGGUUAAGAAGGAAUGUAUGCAUUAGUUUAGUUAUUGCACAGAAUAUCUCUGGAAGGAUACUAUAAGAAACUGUAAGAAGUAAGUACUUGUUACCUACAUGGAAAGGCAGGGGUGAAAGGGAAAUCUCAUAAAACCUUAUGUACCUUUUGGAUUAAACCAUGUAUAUUAUCUAAUAAAAAAUAAAAGUAAAUAAUUUCUAUAGGAUAAGCAAAGUGUAAAGGGGAGAGGAUGUUAAUGUAAAAUGUGCCAGAUAUAGGCACAGUAAAAAAGGCAAAAGAUAUUUUAAGUAAUAAGUAGGCCAAAAGGAGUUAACUGGUAUACAAUUAAUAGAAAUGGCAACUUCAGAGCGUUAAGAGCUUCUGACAAAUGAGAAGCCUCCAAACAAAGGCACAGAGUUUAAAACUUUUUUUAGAGAGCAUUCUUAAAGUUAGGUAAACUGAAGAUAUGAAGGAAAUUAUAGCCAACAAAAAGUACAGCAUUUUACUAAUCUGCCCAUCUCUGUAGUAAUUUGACUCUCUGGCCUAAUAUGGAGAAAUCCAAGAAUGACUCCUGAAAUUCUAUUUAAGAGUUCUUAUUAAACUUUAGUUUUCUUUCCUUCUCCUGUUCUAUCUUCUACUUAUCCUUAAAUGAAGCACAUAUGCAAAAAAAAAAUCAGUGGUAUGUCCCUUGAAAGGGAGAGCAAAAAAGUCAUUGAAAGGUGGAGCUGUGACUCUUCUAAAGCUUUUGGGUCAACUGAAAGGCAGUUGUCAUAUGGAAAACUAAAUCAUCCAUCAUUGGGGUUUGGGGAAGGAGGCAGAAGACAAGGAAGACAAUCUGAUUGGCAUAGUCCAAAGCCAUGUGAAUGCUAGCAAAUUCACAGCAGAACACACUUAAAGGAGACAUUACAAGAAACCUAUAAAUGUGACAUACGCAAGUGAGACACAGUAUAGUCUAGUAGCCUAACGGGACAAUGAUAUUACAGUAAGCAGAAGGCCCAGACUAGGAGCACCACAGUUAAAGGGACAAUAUUUUCUUUUUGGUAACUUUGUUAUAAGAGAAGUUCAACAGAUUCCUAAACACUUGAACAUCACAAAAUAAAAAUCCCAUCAUAUAUCACCUCCAUAAUUAAAUCACUCUUGAAACCAGUGCUGAAUUGAAACUUUGCAUUUGUUCAGUACUUUGUAUUAUGAAAGGAUUACUCACAUACUCCUGUGUUCCUCACAACAUCCCAGAGAAUUCUGGCUUUUGUGGUUUAUGAAUGAGGAAACUAUCAGAAAAAGGUCCAACAAGGACUUGAUUACCGUCUCCUGAUCAAGUAUGCUUAUGAAGCCCGGCCACUCCCUUCUCUCUGACACAUACCUGUAACACUGACAAUAAUCUUUCAAUUGCUUGGAGUUUUGGUAUCUAGGGCAAGAAAUUUCAAAUAACAGUAUGCCAGAGAUACACGCCAGAUUAUUUAGGGGAUGCUAAAAAAGAGAACGGUUCACCUAGUUUCUUCUGCUUUCUAGGAAAACUAACUAGCAGAGUUAAAAUUGAUUAAGAGAGACAGAUGAUGUGAAUACAAAAGCCAAAAGCAAGCCUUCCUACCAGGCAGCAAGCUCCAAGUUUAACAAAGAGUUGUCAGAUACCACGGAGACCAGUCAAAGUAAUGAAAACUGUGAGGAAAAAGCAGUGUGUAGAGAAUGAGUAAGAUCAGCAUACAUACCGAUCCAUAUUAAAGAGAAAACAGACUGCAGUGAGAUUUUGAUGCAAAUGAAAUAACAGCAACCUGAGUAAAGGAUUAUUAAAGAAUUAUCAAUGAGAAAAAAAUCAGAAUACUAACUGCUGCAAGACUUCAAACUGCUAUCUGCCUGUUGAUGUUUAGUAUCAAAGGUCUUACAAGAAAUGAGAGGGAAUUUCAGAUGCUACUGAAGAGAAUGAAAUGGAGAAGCAAAACAAAAUAGAGUGAAAAUGAUUAGAAAAAUGGGGAAUAAGUGAAUAACAGGCUAAACACAGAUGGGAGAAAAUUGGCAAUUAGGAUAUCUCAGCAAAAGAAGAACGUACCAGAAUUACCUUUAUUACUAAGAAGUACACAAUAAUGAUAACCUCUGAAAGCAAAAUUCAAGGCCUCCCUUGGUAAGAAGAGAAAUCGGAAAAUACCAGGGACAGAGACAGAUGAAGAUGAUCAACAGAACCGGAGGGGCGACUGAAAAUCGUGUUUGUACAUGAAUAAAGCAUUCUCUUUCUCUCACGCACACACAGUGAUUACUCUGACGUUUACCCUGUAAAAACUCAUCAAGCUAUAUUUAUGCCACUUUCUAUGCCCAUCUGUGUAUUUGUGUGCUAUGUACAUAUGUAGGAAUGAGAAAGAGGAGGGAGGAAGAAAAUUCCCCCCAGCAUACAGGCCCUGUUAAAGUGCUGGAAGAAACAACUUUCAAAUGUGUUUAAUAUGUAUGUUUGUAAAAAACUGGUUGUACUUCAAA